ACUUUUUCGUCUUGGUAACGGGUCGAAUUUUUGAGUGUCUUAGCUGGCAGUUUGUGCAGAAGAGUUUUAGGCUUUUAUUUGAUUAGCGAAAGCCUCUGUAUUAAGAGAUACAUCUUUCCUGUAUUAAGAGAUACAUCUUUCCUGUUUGUUUGUAUUUGAAGAUUUUUUGCUUAAUAGUCAAUUAUAGCGAAAUCAGACUUUCGGCGCAUUCAUCGCGUGCUGAACACAUGUGCUCAUGGUGACAAAUGAUAAUGUUCGCUCUGAUUUCCAUUAAGAGUAUUGGCCACUCUGUCGCUAACCUCGUUUGCAAGAAGGUUUAUUCUGACAUGACCAGAAGUGUUCUGUUAUACAGACGAGAAAUGAAGAAGCAUGUGAAAUGAUCAUUCCUAUUGUUCAUAGGAAUGACUCUUGCUACUAAACUGGCUAUGGCUGCCAGGACGUGCUCCAUUUUUAGUACUGGACCACUGAAUUUGAAGUAUCCAGAUUAUUUGCAACAUAUCUACCGUGAGGUUUUUCUUCACAGGAGCUAAGCACUCGUCUGGAGCCAUUAGAAGCUUUGCAUCUGAAAAAGCUGUUUGCCAGAUUUUGACAAGGACACAAUAACAUCAAGUCUCCAUAUUCCUUUUCAGUUCAAGGUCCUAAAUCUUGGUGGGGACAUUUUCGAGGAUAGAUUUACCAAAAAAAGAAAAUGUUGUAAAUUGCAAGAAUUAUGAAAUUCCACUUAAAAAAGGUGAUUUUGACCACAUUUCAGAAAGAUUAUGAUAACAUCAAGCCUUAGUCCUUGGUUUGAUUUUCAAGUACACCAUACUUGUGUGCCGAAACUACCAUCUCUGAAGUGAGUCAAAAUAAAUGUCGGCUUCUGAAAUUGGAAAAGACUGUAUAUGUUAAUAUUGUUUACAUGAAUUCUAGACAUAAAUACUGGCUGAUUAUUAC